GACGAACGCUGGCGGCGUGCUUAACACAUGCAAGUCGAACGGAAAGGCCCUGCUUGCAGGGUACUCGAGUGGCGAACGGGUGAGUAACACGUGGGUGAUCUGCCCUGCACUUCGGGAUAAGCCUGGGAAACUGGGUCUAAUACCGGAUAGGAGCCAUUUUUAGUGUGAUGGUUGGAAAGUUUUUUCGGUGUAGGAUGAGCUCGCGGCCUAUCAGCUUGUUGGUGGGGUAAUGGCCUACCAAGGCGGCGACGGGUAGCCGGCCUGAGAGGGUGGACGGCCACAUUGGGACUGAGAUACGGCCCAGACGCCUACGGGAGGCAGCAGUGGGGAAUAUUGCACAAUGGGCGCAAGCCUGAUGCAGCGACGCCGCGUGGGGGAUGACGGCCUUCGGGUUGUAAACUCCUUUCGCUAGGGACGAAGCUUCUUGUGACGGUACCUAGAUAAGAAGCACCGGCUAACUACGUG
rnacentral:rRNA from 1 species